rnacentral:lncRNA from 1 species
UUUGGGGAAUUUGUAGAACUUAUACAGACGGGAAGAAUAAGAAAUGAACAGCACCAGUUUGGCUGCUAUGUGACUUUUUAUUUAUUGUUAUCACUGGUUAUGGAAUUCUUGACCAAAGGGAAUGCCUUGAUAGCUCAAGUGAUUAGAGAACCAAAAGAAGAAAGGAGGAACUACGAGGAGUUUCGACUAUUGUAUUACAAUGAAUUACGAGGUAUUAGCACGUUUCUUUUACCUUAUGAUAAUUAUUUUUGUGAACAGUUUAUCAUGACUGACGUUUUAUACUUGUGAGGCCUUAGGAAUAUAAAUAUAAUUUAAUAAAGAAAACCUUGCCCUUUAAUUAUGAAAAAAAAAACUUCUCAAGAUGGCAUUCUGGAAUUCAAUUUCAGAACUUUGUAUAUGAAAUUAGUUUCUGACCUUUGCACACAUAUGUUGAAUUUGUACGAUAAAUUAUGAGCUUUACAACUCUAACUAUAGAUAUCUGUGUAUUGAUGAAUUAGAAUGAUGGGUUAUGAUUUCUAUCUUUUUAAUAAUUGUGCAAUGAUUGAACACAUGAAGAGUAAUGGUUGAUGAGCUUUCAAAAUUAGGUGCAAGGUUAGAAUGAGAAUUCGUCCAUAACGUGCAUCUAAGACCUAUUUGGACGUCUGUUUCGUACUGUAUGGUUAUUGAAGUUUAAAUUGUGAUAUUAGGAUAGUUUUAUCAUUUAAGUUUAUGACCUAGGUGUAAAUGUCGAGACUUAGCUUUGAGCUGCAAUUAAGAAAAUUAUGAAAUGAUCCCAACUAAUACAGUUGACAUUGUUUAUCAAUAUUUUGUAUAGAUUGAGGUUAUUGGAGGUCAUUUGGCCGGUGUUCUAGAUGUUGCAAGGUUGAGGAAAUUGUCAUUAAUGAGGUAAGUGAGACUUUAAGCUUUGAUGCUUGCUUUUUUAAAACCCGUUUUGAAAAUGUGUUUUAUCUGCCUGGUUAUGUGCUGAAAAUAGAUAAGCCAUACAUUACGUUUGAGUACUUAAAAUAAAAUGAUAUGACUAUCCUCGGGAAAAGAAAUUAGUUUGUGCGACUCUAUUGACACAUAAAGUUGUGUUUGGUAAAGCAUAAAUUUGAAGAACAUGAGCAACAAUAAUGAGAUGACAUUGUAUAUAUAAGAAUAAAGAUAGGGCUUGAGUAAUCAGAUGUACCAAUUGUGGUUCUGAAUCGAGGGGUUAGAAUUGUGUUGUUUAGACAUGUUAGAAUUAUUGGAUAGCUCUAGUUACAAGGAAACUAUGUCGGAUAUUUUGAUAGUAAGCCAAAUUUUAAAGUCUUAAGAGCAAAGUAGAAGUGAUACAAGUCCAAAGGUUUUUCUCUUACGUCAGAUAUGAUUUAGAGUCAAAUGUGUGUAAACAUGUGGCAGGUGACUUGUAAAGAUUUGUUAAGAUAAAAUUUUGUUUCCCUCUAAAUUUAGCAUGUUUGAGAUCCAAAAAUAUGCAUUAUGAUCAGAGAACGAGAUCUAUAAAUUUGUUCCUCAAUAUUUGAACUGUUCAUUGUUAAAUGUGAGUGUUAGAGGGUUGAAAAGUUUUCGCGAACAUGGUUUAUUUCAAGAGAAAUUGGAAAUGGACCAUUGUAGACUUUGUGGUUAGUCUACACGUUCAUUGAGUAAAUUGUGGUCCUAGUUAGGCUCAUCAAGAUAUAGAGCCUAGUUGAGUUAGAAUUUCUUAGAUAAUAUACUAGCCUAUGGAGCGAUAUAUUCAGUAGAUAGUGAAAUGGCAUAGGUGUCUGUAUUUUCAUGUGUGACAAAGGUAACAAAUUAUGGAAUAUUCACGUAGGGGUAUAUGAAUAUGCUUUAGUGCCGCUGUAUAUGAGAGUAUUUGGUAGGGGCGUAUGGAUGUGUUCCAGCGCUACCAUACAUAAGAGCGCUAUUUGAUAGUGUUCAAAUAUGUUUCAAAACUACUUUAUGUAAAAAAAAAAAAUAUGAAUGUAUUCCAUUGUAGGACCAUGGUUGUGGCUAUUGUUUGUGGUCGAGCUAAGUAAAUGUAAGAGGGUAUGGAUAUCCAGUCCCAUUACUAGCUGGAUAGGUAUUGUAUAACGUGUGGCUCAUGAUCAGUUGUUUUUAACCGAGUACAUGAUGAUAGUAGUUUACUAACUCGAUAUUCAGAUCUUGUCAUUUUAGGCUUGAUGUGGGUGCCAGUGUUUUGCUCUACGUGGUUAGUUGAAUAUGGUAAGUCACAAUUGUUUGGUCCAAAUUUGAUUAGCAACGCAUGAAAGAUGUUGCAUUGAGCACUGGGGUGGUUUCAAUUAUUGCAGAGUAGACAUAACUCCUAUGUUGACAAACAGAGGCGGAUCCACGUGGAGGGGCAUGUGUCACGUGCACCCAUGCUCCCCUCCUUGGGUUGUAUAUCACAGGGAUGUUUUUCGGAUAAAGUAUUUAAUUUUUUGCGUGGGAACCCAUGGUCAAAAGAGCAUUUGGUGUAGUGGUAGCUUUGUGCGUCAUUGACCCCUAGGUCCAGUGUUCAAAUCUCGCUUCUAUAUUUUCCAUCUCGUAUCCAUUUUUCUUUUCCUUUUCUAUUUCUCUUUUUCGUUCUUUUCUUUUUUGUUCUGUUCAAAUUUCAUGCCCUAUCUUUCUUUUCUUUUCUUUUUUUCCCAUACAAUUCUUAUGUUUUUGGGUUCACCCUUUGAUAUAUCCUUGAAUUAAAUUUUCAUUUUUAUUGGAUUCUUUUCUGUGUUUUCUUCAUUCUAUUUUUUAGUUCAAUUAUUGAGUUUCAAAAACUAUAAAAAAUAAAAUUUAAAUCAUUUUAAAUCUUUUCAAUUUCAAGUUUCCUCUUUUUUCAUUUACCACUCUCUUUUUGAUUAGUUAUUUAAUUUUAAUAUAUUGAGCUUUAGUACUUGUAACUAUAAAUAAUGAUGCUAUUAUUGAUAGUUUUCCAAGGUAAGUUUUAGAGAACCAAAUCAAACGGUGGUCGGAUAGUGAUGCACCCAUCCUUCUGAAAUCCUGGAUCCGCCUCUGUUGAUAAAUAAGAUCAUAAAUUGGAGUUCAUGAAAUGUGAAAAGUUUUUAAGAACAUUUUCACUAGAAAGGAGUUACGUGCUUUUGGAUCAGAUUGGAUUAGUGGCGUAUAAAUUUAUUUUGCCUUGGGGACAUUGAGUUGUACACCUUAUAUUUUAUGCGUUCAUGAUGAGACUCAUAUGAUUCAGCUAAAGAUCUGGAACUAGGUGAAAAUUUGACAUAAGAACGAGGUCCCAUAACUAUUAUUGAUAGAUAAGUACGGUAGUUGAUGAGGUUGAAGAAGGUUGCUUAAGUGAGAGUGUUAUCCUGAACAUUCGAUAGAGAAAGCUAUACAUGAGUGUGAGGGAGAUACAUGCAGUAGUUGUUUGAGUUGCCAGGUACACUUUUUAACUCGUUCGAGGACGAACGUUUAUUUUAAGUGGGGGAGAAUGUAAUAACCAAAUAUUUUAAGAAUGAACUUUUAAGUUAAUUCUUUAAUUAUAAUUCCUUAGUUAUUAUAUGGACAAUAAUAAAUAUUUAUUUUACAUAUAAGUGCAUAGAUAUGUUUAUAAUUAAAAUUAAUAUUUAGGUAUUGAGGAAUAUGAAGAAUAUUAUUUGAAAUAUAUAUUUGAAUAGCAUGGCUUAGUUUACAAUGGUACAUAUUAGUUGAGUAAUAAAGUGAUUCUAUAAAAUAAAAAUAAAAAAAUAUAGUGAGUGCAUAAUGGGCUAGGCCCACAGCUUCUUUCGUUGGUCACAAUUAAAGACCUAGGUGUAAGAGUCUAGCUGACCAUUUUGGAAAUUUGUAGAACUUAUACAGACGGGAAGAAUAAGAAGUGAACGGCGCCAGUUUGGCUGCUAUGUGACUUUUUAUUUAUUGUUGUCGCUGGUUAAUGGAAUUCUUGACCAAAGAGAAUGCCUUGAUAGCUCAAGUGAUUAGAGAACCAAAAGAAGAAAGGAGGAACUACGAGGAGUUUCGACUAUUUUAUUACAAUGAAUUACGAGGUAUUAGCAUGUUUCUUUUACCUUAUGAUAAUUAUUUUUGGGAACAGUUGGUCAUGGCUGACAUUUUAUACUUGUGAGGCCUUAGGAAUAGAAAUAUAAUUUAAUAAAGAAAACCUUGCCCUUUAAUUAUGAAAAAAAACUUCUCAAGAUGGCAUUCCUGGAAUUCAAUUUCAGAACUUUGUAUAUGAAAUUAGUUUCUGACCUUUGCACACAUAUGUUGAAUUUGUACGAUAAAAUAUGAGCUUUACAACUCUAACUAUAGAUAUCUGUGUAUUGAUGAAUUAGAGUGAUGGGUUAUGAUUUCUAUCUUUUUAAUAAUUGUGCAAUGAUUGAACACAUGAAGAGUAAUGGUUGAUGAGAUUUCAAAAUUAGGUGCAAGGUUGGAAUGAGAAUCCGUCCAUAACGUGCAUCUAAGACCUAUUUGGACGUCUGUUUCGUACUGUAUGGUUAUUGAAGUUUAAAUUGUGAUAUUAGGAUAGUUUUAUCCUUUAAGUUUAUGACCUAGGUGUAAAAUGUCGAGACUUAGCUUUGAGCUGCAAUUAAGAAAAUUAUGAAAUGAUCCCAACUAAUACAGUUGACAUUGUUUAUCAGUAUUUUGUAUAGAUUGAGGUUAUUGGAUGUCAUUUGGCUGAUGUUCUAGAUGUUGCAAGGUUGAGGAAAUUAUCAUUAAUGAGGUAAGUGAGACUUUAAGCUUUAAUACUUGCUUUCCUAAAACCCAUUUUAAAAAUGUGUUUUCUCUGUCUGGUCCAUGUGUUGGGACAAGCGUGCGCUUGGAAGAGUCAGUGGUCUUAGACUAGCCGCAAAUAUAUUAUUUUAUGGAAAAAAAAUAUUAUUUUAUAAGUUGUUUGAUAGUGUGAUACGGCUGUGCGCCAUGAUAAUUAAGUUUGAUACGGCUGUGCGCCAUGAUAUUAAGUUUGAUACGGCUGUCCGCCAUGAUGUUGAGUUUGAUACGGUUGUGCGCCAUUAUGUUGAGUUUCAUACGGCCGUGCGCCAUGAUGAUGAGUUUCAUACGGCUGUGCGCCAUGAUGUUGGGGCAUUGUGUAUACCUUUGUACAUCACCCCAAGCAUUGUGUAUGCUCUGUUACAUAUUUGAGGCAUUGUGGUGCCAUUGUGGACUCGUAAGUGCGUUGGUAAAUUUUUUUCGCUGCCAUUAUGAUAAGUCCUUAGUGGGUAUUCUUGUUGGUUAAUUCUUAAUAACUCUAUUGAUACACAUAUUGAGUUAUUGUAUAAUUAUCAUAUUUACUAUAUUAUUCGUGUUGCAGUGUGUUUGUAUUUUCACACACUUGUUCCAGAGGUAUUUAAAGUGACGGGUCGAGGAUCUUACUGGGUUAUAUUUACAUAUAACUCACUCCUUAACUGCAUCUCUAUACAGAUACCGUUGCGGGAGAUAGAGCUAGUGGCUGAAGAGUUUGUUCGAGUGGAUCCUAUUGCUGAGGUGAGCCAGCGCAUUGUUCGUGGAGGCUUUCGUUUCAGACUUACCUCGUGUUAGUUUUUUUUUUCUCUUUGGGGUUUGCAAACCCGUCAAUAAACCUCAUAUUACUCUGUUAGAUGCUCCAUGGUCUUAGUGUGGGAUUUCGGCUAGAGUUUUAUUAAUUGAGUGAUUGUUGGUUUUUCUAUCAAUUGACUAAGGUAUUGGCGAUAAUUGUUUCCUCUUUAAUUAUUAAUAAUACUAUUAGGUCUGUAUUUCUUUUUCUCCCAG